GCUGUUAGGCAUCAACUCGGCAUAGGCAGAGGUCUGGCGCUAUUUAUCUGGGAUGUGUGCACCCCAUCUGUCUUCCCGUCAGCCAAUAAGCGCUCUAAUUUCUCCCACCACUAUCUCUAGUGAAUAACGGGGCCCAUCGUCAUGUAGUGGGGCUGUAGGGGUACACGGAACUCUACUGCAGAUAAGGGAGGAAGAGUUAGCGUUGAGUCUCGCCCAGUGACGUCGUGAGUGAGGGACAUUGUGGAGAGCGAAGAGAAGAGAAGGAAAACGCAGGGAUGUGCACAGUGCAACGCCACCCAAAGAUGUGUGUGUGUGUGUGUGCGUGUGCGUGUGCGUGUGUGUGUGUAGGCUAUCGUGCUUUUCCCGAGUGAACAUUUUACACCCGUCAGAAAUACAGCGAGGUUUUUUUUCAAUUUGGGUCAGAGAAUAGACGUAUUGCAGUCUUGGUUUUAGGGUUUUGGGGAAAAUGUGUUUGCACAAAAGCACACUUUUGCACACACUGCUGUCGUCAUUUGCUGUUUAAUUUCUCCCUAAGAGUCUAAUUCGACGGAAACAUGGCAAUUGAACGGGCGUCUAGUACUUGUAAGUAUGAUUAUAGUGACCAAUAGGCUACAGUAAUCGCACCUAAACUUGGUAAUGAUUGUAUGCAUGCGUUUAUUUUACUUUGAUGGACUAUUGAUACAUUUUUUUUGCAUUCAAAUCGACGUUUUGUCAACGAUCUAAAUACCAAGCAAUAUGAAUGUAUGACAACAGUAGGCUACUAAAUCAACAUUCGGCUAUCUACAGCUUUGAUUUCUAAGCGAGACUGUUAAUGUAUGCAUGGAGACAAUUAUAGGCUAAACGCAGCAUUUGACAACAGCGCCAUUAACAUAUUUUUUUUCUUUCAAUAGCGUCUCAGUAGCCUACUGGUUUAGAUUCGGACAGAUUGAAUAUUUAGGCUACAGUUAUUGGUUGUGGUGGCCAUUCGCUCUUGCGGGCACGUGCACACACAUUGAUCCUCACACACGCAAACACACACCUUUUCACACACGCCUCAGCACGGACGCUGGAUGUACAUCAACCAAGACUCUUUUUUUUUUGGUGAUCAUCUUCCUCGUCAACUGUCAUCCCGAGCCAACAGCUGAACAGUGCGGCAGUGGAGGGAUGGCAUUUCUCCUUUUAAUUAUCCUAGUGUUCCCCUCCCUCACACCGGCCAAACACAAUACAACCACAGGUAAUGGCUUUGUGCUUUCAGUUAAAUGUGAGUCUUUGACGUGACAGAUGGCAC
rnacentral:lncRNA from 1 species